AAUGAUCAUUAAGAGAGGACUGACGUCCCGCCAACCUGCCUUAUCCGGUAAGGUGGUAACCUCAUAUGAGGGAUGAGACCUAAGGGUAACCAAAGGAUCAUUG
rnacentral:ncRNA from 1 species